rnacentral:sRNA from 1 species
UCUACUUUAAGUUUUUUAUUUCAGAAUUGGACUUUCCAUGCAAAUACAAACUAAACAUCAUCUUCUUUUACCCCAUGAGCAUGAGAUUGGUUUUUUUCUUUUUUGGAUUUCUUUCUGUUUUGAGUGAGGGAUUCACAUAUUCCAGGUUGACCUCAAAAAGGAUGCUCUUCUGUUCCUCGUGACGCUACCUCCCCCAGGAAUGACAGCUUUGCAGAUGAAUAACUGCUGCGGAGAAAAGCCUGAGAAAACAGGAUGAAGAUUCUAUGUGUGUUGAUUUGGCAACACAGAAUAACGUUGUACAGAAUUUUUCAAAGAGACCCUGAGGAGAUUGCUCCUUUGGUAAAGCGUUUGCUGUGGUAAAAUGGAAACCUGAUCACCAGCACCUACAAAAGAAGCCGGGCAUAGUGGCACAGGCCUCUCAUCCCAGCGUUCAGAUGAUGGAGACUAAUGGAUCCCUGAGGCUUGCUGGUCUACCAGCCUCAAGUAGACUCAUUGAGCACCAGAAGCUGCAGAGAAUGGAAGCAUCAUGGAGAAAAUGGCAGGGAGACCCAAGACUCCAAGACAAGAAGGAUGAAGUAAAAGAAGCAAUCAGGAAAGAAGCAUUGCUGUCCAUGGGCAGAACUAUCCCAGGAAGUUAAUCGCGAUAAACACAAGCGCCAAGCAGCGUCCCCUCUGUGCCUCUCCCUGCCUGGAGAUCCGUACUGAAAUCACUGCGGGCAUCUGACUGCUUCACGUAGCCCGGGGAAGUUUUACUGUGGGUCUUCUCAGAGCCAAAACCAGAAAGAAGCACUUCUGAAAAAACCCAACGAAGCUGAAAGAAGCGGUUUUUUGCAGCGGUACCUGCCAGCGAGACUUGUUCCUUUGCCACAAGGGGUGCUGGGCAAAAGCCUCUAUCCCUCAUUAAAUCAAUAAAAUCAAGUGUCCUUUAUUUUAA